CAAUAGCGUAUAUUAAAGUUGUUGCGGUUAAAAAGCUCGUAGUUGGAUUUCUGUUGAGGAAGCCCGGUCCGCACUUUGUGCGUGAUCUGGUUCUGCCUCGGCAUCCUCGCGGGGAACAUGCUGCGCUUGAUUGCGUGGUGUGGUAUUCGCGACUUUUACUUUGAGGAAAUUAGAGUGUUCACGGCAGACAAUUGUCUUGAAUACGUUAGCAUGGAAUAAUAAUAUAGGACCUUGGUUCUAUUUUGUUGGUUUCUAGAACUAAGGUAAUGAUUUAUAGGGAUAAUUGGGGGCAUUUGUAUUAACACGUCAGAGGUGAAAUUCUUGGAUUGUGUUACGACAAACUACUGCGAAAGCAUUUGCCAAGGAUGUUUUCAUUGA
rnacentral:rRNA from 1 species